GAACACCAUGGACAAGAGGAUGAACGCAUCCGGCCGGCUGCUGAGACUCUGAGCCUGGGAUUUACAAGUUGGACCUUGAGGGCUCUGCACCUUUCCAGCCUCACCUCCUGUGUGUACAGUGUCAGUGGUGGCCUCACAGCUCUCCCUGCCCCCUGGACCAGAUGCACACAGUUGGCUCAGAACACACUGAGCAGCUGCAGCUCUGUGUGACUCUGCACAGCAGGAGAGGCACAGCCAAGUUGUCUAGCCACUUCUCACAGACUCUGUCAGGAGAGGAUGAUGUUAACAGCUCAGUGAGUACCAGUGUGAAGGAAGCAGCUCACAAAACCAACAGGAUCUGGGAUACAGCAGAAUACACUGUACCAAUGCAGGCAAGUCUGCAGUUAAUGUCAGUUCAAUAUUCAGAAUUCAGAUUUUCUGCCCGCUUUUACAUCCUCCUUUAACUGGUUCAUGCUGUUGAAUUAAACUUCUAGCUGGAACACUUGAUUUCUCAAUCUAUCACCAGACCCAGAUAUGAAACUUCAUAUAAAAUUGUGAAGGAAAUUACUUCACCCUCAGCCCAAACAAUGACAAGCACUGUUGACCCAAGCAAAGGGCUAAAUAAGGAUUGAUGAGGUGUGGCAGGACCAUGGUUUGGGUAGUUCCUUCUGCAGCUUCCUCCUAUAGAAAGCUGCAACAAACUGAAAUGUCAAGUUCCCUCUCUUACAUUUGAGGAGGACAGGUUGAAACUGUCUCCAAGUGGUAAGAAACCCUUGAGUAAGAGCUUGUUUCUUAACAAGAAUUUAAACAGGCAGAUGUGUGAAUUGUAAUGCAACUGUUAAAAUCCUGUGAGGUCAGGGGUUCUCUGUGGAAUCCAUGAAAAACCUCCCUAAGUAAGUGAAAGAUACCUACAUUUUUUGUGUUGAAAGAAAGAUACAUUGACAACAUCAUAAAAUUUUAAGGUACUCCAUCUGCCUAGGCACUUGUAGAUCUCAUGUAUGUAAAGCAGCUCCUUCCCUCAUAGCUGUACUGUUGACACUCAUUAUAAUACCCAGAUAAUUGACUUCUACCAAGCUGCCCUGCUGCAUGAUCCUGCAGUGAAGUCAUAGCCUCCAGUUUGUACCAUCAUGCAGCUGCCAUAGAAACAGCUUUAGGUGUCACAGGCUCAUCUUGAAUUCACUGGAGACAUUUGGCUCAUUAAUUCAAAUGUCAAGGAAAAUGUAUCAACGUAAAAGAGCUUCAAUCAGGGACUGUAAUUUAAAAAAAAAAAAAGUUUCCUAAUGUGGGGUUUUCUUCUGCAAAGAAAGAAGAUGUGGAAGUUCUCUGUGGGUUCAUUUAUCACACUGAGGUUCCUUCCACUUCCCCGUGUAGUAGAUUGAUUGUCUGUGCUUUGUGCUGCAGGCUUGUGUUGGGGGAUCUUCCUCAGACCAAAGAACAAUCUCUUCAUCCUCCCUACACAGAUCA
rnacentral:lncRNA from 1 species